AGAAGCCCGGUGGUGAAGGCACUCACCUGGGAUGUGGGAGACCUGGGUUCAAGUCCCUGCU
rnacentral:tRNA from 1 species